GAUCCUGGCUCAGAAUCAACGCUGGCGGCGUGCCUCAGACAUGCAAGUCGAACGAUUAAACUCUCCUUCGGGAGAGAUAUAAAGUGGCGCACGGGUGAGUAACACGUAGGUAAUCUACCUUUGAGUGGGGAAUAACGUUCGGAAACGGACGCUAAUACCGCAUAAUGCAGCGGCAUCUAUGAUGACAGUUGUUAAAGGAGCAAUCCGCUUAAAGAGGAGCCUGCGGCAGAUUAGCUAGUUGGUAAGGUAAUGGCUUACCAAGGCUACGAUCUGUAACCGACCUGAGAGGGUGGUCGGUCACACUGACACUAAAUAACGGGUCAGACUCCUACGGGAGGCAGCAGUCGGGAAUUUUGGGCAAUGGGCGAAAGCCUGACCCAGCAACGCCGCGUGAAGGACGAAGUCUUUCGGGAUGUAAACUUCGUAAGAAUAGGAAGAAUAAAUGACGGUACUAUUUGUAAGGUCCGGCUAACUACGUGCCAGCAGCCGCGGUAAUACGUAGGGACCAAGCGUUGUUCGGAUUUACUGGGCGUAAAGGGCGCGUAGGCGGCAAUUCAAGUCAGUUGUGAAAUCUCCGAGCUUAACUCGGAACGGUCAACUGAUACUGCUUUGCUAGAGUACAGAAGGGGCAAUCGGAAUUCUUGGUGUAGCGGUGAAAUGCGUAGAUAUCAAGAGGAACACCUGAGGUGA
rnacentral:rRNA from 1 species